rnacentral:rRNA from 1 species
UACAGAGGGUGCGAGCGUUAAUCGGAAUUACUGGGCGUAAAGCGUGCGUAGACGGUUAUUUAAGUCGGAUGUGAAAGCCUCGGGCUCAACCUGGGAAUUGCAUUCGAGACUGAAUAGCUAGGGUGCGGUAGAGGGAAGCGGAAUUUCCGGUGUAGCGGUGAAAUGCGUAGAUAUCGGAAGGAACAUCAGUGGCGAAAGCGGCUUCCUGGACCAGCACCGACGUUCAGGCACGAAAGCCGGGGGAGCAAACAGG